rnacentral:rRNA from 1 species
GUAGGUGGCAAGCGUUGUCCGGAAUUAUUGGGCGUAAAGCGCGCGCAGGUGGUUCUUUAAGUCUGAUGUGAAAGCCCCCGGGCUCAACCGGGGAGGGUCAUUGGAAACUGGGGAACUUGAGUGCAGGAGAAGAAAGUGGAAUUCCACGUGUAGCGGUGAAAUGCGUAGAUAUGUGGAGGAACACCAGUGGCGAAGGCGACUUUCUGGCCUGUAACUGACACUGAGGCGCGAAAGCGUGGGGAGCAAACAGGAUUAGAUACCCUGGUAGUCCACGCCGUAAACGAUGAGUGCUAAGUGUUGGGGGGUUUCCGCCCCUCAGUGCUGCAGCUAACGCAUUAAGCACUCCGCCUGGGGAGUACGGUCGCAAAGACUG